GUCUACGGCCAUGCUACCCAGAACAAGCCCGAUUCUGUCUGAUCUCGGAAGCUAAGCGGAGUUGGGCCUGGUUAGUACUUGGAUGGGAGACCACCUAGGAAGACCAGGUGCUGUAGGCG
rnacentral:rRNA from 1 species